rnacentral:rRNA from 1 species
UACAAUGAAGAGUUUGAUCCUGGCUCAGGAUGAACGCUAGCGGCAGGCCUAAUACAUGCAAGUCGAACGGUAACAUUGGUGCUUGCACCAGAUGACGAGUGGCGCACGGGUGCGUAACGCGUAUGCUACCUACCUUUUACUAGAGUAUAGCCCAGAGAAAUUUGGAUUAAUCCUCUAUAACAUCUUUAAGUUUCAUAAUUUUUAGAUUAAAGUUUUUAACGGUAAAAGAUGGGCAUGCGUCCUAUUAGUUUGUAGGUGAGGUAACGGCUCACCUAGACUACGAUAGGUAGGGGCCCUGAGAGGGGGAUCCCCCACACUGGUACUGAGACACGGACCAGACUCCUACGGGAGGCAGCAGUAAGGAAUAUUGGACAAUGGACGAAAGUCUGAUCCAGCCAUGCCGCGUGCAGGAUGAAAGCCCUACGGGUUGUAAACUGCUUUUAUACAGGAAGAAAUAUACCUACGUGUAGGUAUUUGACGGUACUGUACGAAUAAGGAUCGGCUAACUCCGCGCCAGCAGCCGCGGUAAUACGGAGGGUCCGAGCGUUAUCCGGAAUCAUUGGGUUUAAAGGGUCCGUAGGCGGGAAUCUA